CCCUGUGUGCCACUCAUUGGUCAUCGACAGCACUGUGCCGCCCCCGUGUGCCUCUCAUUGGUCAUCGGCAUCGCUGUCCCGCCCCAGCCACUCUCUCAUUGGUUAUCGACAGCGCCGUCCCACCUCCACCAGCCUCUUAUAGCCUCUGAUAAGGCUGUAAUCCAAACCUUGGUGAAGAGUGGUCUUUUGGGGUUCUGUGUCGCCCCCCUAAGGCUCCAGUUUUGCCAUUCCCGAAGGCAGGUGGCACCGAUCCACGGGUACAGGAUCCCAGAGAAAUUAAUGGCACAGCAGCAGGACAGCGCUGCUGAGUGCGACGGCCCUGAUUCCACCCUCCUCCCUCUUUUCCUGUUUUCCUAAUUCGUCCCACUUUUCCCUUUUUCCUCCCUUGCCCCCCUUUUCCUUUUUUUCGUCCCUCGUUUUUCCUUUUGUCCUUCUCAUGCACUUCCUGCUAUCCCGCCUUUUCCCCGCCUUCCCUCAUCUCUUCUUGCACUCUUGGACCCCUUUUUCUCCCCCCAUCCUUAUUUCUCUUCACAUUCCCCUGUUCUUUUUUCCCCUUUCCUCUUCUUCAUCCCCAGCUCCGCUUCCCCCCCACCUCACGUCCCCUUUCUUCUGUCCCUGUACCCCAUUUUUCCCCUUUUUUCCCCAUCCCCCCCCUUUUUUUUUUUCUCUGCUGUCCCCUAUUCCCUUUUUCCUCUUUGCUCUCUCUCUCCUUUCUUCCCCCUCAUCCUGUUACAGAAGAGAGUGAAGGAAUGAUGGACAAGCUGGUGCAGGAUGGCAGCAGCAGGGUGGAGACACAGGUGGGUGCGAUGAAGCCGGGGGUGGGACUGGGUGGAGCCAGAGCCCAGCCUGAGCUCAUUUAAGGGCUGGGAAUGGCAGGGCUCAGAUGUGUGCCUGGGCUUCUGCUGUCAGUGAGGUUGGGUGAGCAGUGAGGUUGGGUGAGCAGUGAGGUUGGGUGAGCAGUGAGGUUUGGGAGGGACCGACUUGUUGGCCUUGAGAUCGAUGCCCAGCUCCUUGCUCGUCGCAUUCUGUUCUGCUCGAGGUUCCGGACACGGCUUGCUCUUCUAAGCAGCGUGAGGACUGCGAGAAAGACUUUGUUGGAUGCAGCAGGAAAGCACAGCCGCUGGUGGAUGCCAGUGUCCGCUCCUGAGGCUCUGCGCCAAGGUACGUGGAUCCCUGCCGUCUCCUGUUUCACACGCUCGCUCAGGUCCUUUGGGGCUUGGUGUCGCUUGUCCCUCGUGCUCCCUUUGCUGUCACCGGGUGUUGUUCCU